CUGUGAAUAUUCUCAAUGUUCUGCUUUUGUAAUAGUCAGAACAGGUUAACAUUUUCUAUAUUAAUAUCAUGCAUAUGUACCCAGAUAAAGCCUGUUUCCUAGGUCUUGUCUUCUAAAUGCUGGUAACAAAC
ensembl:snoRNA SNORA72 Small nucleolar RNA SNORA72